rnacentral:rRNA from 1 species
AUUGAACGCUGGCGGCAUGCUUUACACAUGCAAGUCGAACGGUAGAGGGGGCAACCCCUUGAGAGUGGCGAACGGGUGAGUAAUGCAUCGGAACGUGCCCAGUCGUGGGGGAUAGCCCGGGGAAACCCGGAUUAAUACCGCAUACGACCUGAGGGUGAAAGCGGGGGACCGAAAGGCCCCGCGCGAGUGGAGCGGGCGAUGUCGGAUUAGGUAGUUGGUGGGGUAAAGGCCUACCAAGCCUGCGAUCCGUAGCUGGUCUGAGAGGACGACCAGCCACACUGGGACUGAGACACGGCCUAGACUCCUACGGGAGGCAGCAGUGGGGAAUUUUGGACAAUGGGCGCAAGCCUGAUCCAGCCAUGCCGCGUGCGGGAAGAAGGCCUUCGGGUUGUAAACCGCUUUUGUCAGGGAAGGAAUCCUUUGGACUAAUACUCUGGGGGGAUGACGGUACCUGAAGAAUAAGCACCGGCUAACUACGUGCCAGCCGCCGCGGUAA